rnacentral:rRNA from 1 species
UACGUAGGGGGCAAGCGUUGUCCGGAAUCAUUGGGCGGAAAGAGCGUGUAGGCGGCCCGGUAAGUCCGCUGUGAAAGUCCAGGGCUCAACCCUGGAAUGCCGGUGGAAACUGUCGGGCUAGAGUCCGGAAGAGGCGAGUGGAAUUCCUGGUGUAGCGGUGAAAUGCGCAGAUAUCAGGAGGAACACCAAUGGCGAAGGCAGCUCGCUGGGACGGUACUGACGCUGAGACGCGAAAGCGUGGGGAGCAAACAGG